rnacentral:rRNA from 1 species
CCUACGGGGGGCAGCAGUGGGGAAUAUUGGACAAUGGGCGGAAGCCUGAUCCAGCAAUACCGCGUGUGUGAAGAAGGCCUGAGGGUUGUAAAGCACUUUCAAUAGGAAGGAAUACCUAUCCAUUAAUACUGGGUAGACUGACAUUACCUAUACAAGAAGCACCGGCUAACUCCGUGCCAGCAGCCGCGGUAAUAUGGAGGGUGCAAGAGUUAAUCGGAAUUGCUCGGCGUAAGCUGUUCGUAGCCGGCGCGAAAGCCCCGGGCUUAACCUGGGAAUGGCAUUUGAUACUGGCGAGCUAGAGUUGAGUAGAGGGGAGUGGAAUUUCAGGUGUAGCGGUGAAAUGCGUAGAGAUCUGAAGGAACACCAGUGGCGAAGGCGACUCCCUGGACUCAAACUGACGCUGAGGUACGAAAGCGUGGGUAGCAAACAGGAUUAGAUACCCCUGUAGUC